rnacentral:rRNA from 1 species
UACGUAGGUGACAAGCGUUGUCCGGAUUUACUGGGCGUAAAGAGCGCGCAGGCGGUCGUUCAAGUCGAGUGUGAAAGCCCCCCGGCUCAACUGGGGAGGGUCACUCGAUACUGAUCGACUCGAAGGCAGGAGAGGGUAGUGGAAUUCCCGGUGUAGUGGUGAAAUGCGUAGAUAUCGGGAGGAACACCAGUGGCGAAGGCGAGUCUCUGGACAUUUCCUAACGCUGAGGCACGAAAGCCAGGGGAGCAAACGGG